UAAUUCCUUUCCAGAAGGACCCAAACAAAAGAUCAGAUUUUCUGAUUCCAUCAUUGAAGGUGAUGGUACACCUUUCUUUCUGCGAGGUCGAUGGGAGUAUUCAUGUAUGUUUGGGCGAGACAAGCAUGCAGCCAGGAUCAAGAAAGCAGUAGAGGAGGAAAAAAGACAACAUAAGGCAACAAAGGGAGGCUCCGACAAGCCACAUUGAAAGAGUGCAGCAGAAAGAAGUUUGCAGGUGGCAGAAAGCACACAACAAGCAUCAUAAUUCCUGAAUUGGAGGGGCUCAAGAUUCAACCGCUUCCUUCACUAAAUGACGACAAUCGUUAUUCAGUAUGCGGGGAGACCCUUGAGAUUAGAGAUUUCAAGUCCUUGCAGUUCCCUAAUUGGAUAAAUGACAAGGUAAUUUAUCUAUCAAAAGAUGUUAUUAUUAUCUUACUAUAACCAAAUAUGCAUUUGUAUCAUUUGUAAUCAAUAUAAUGCUGAAGGCUCAAUGAAGAAAGAAAUGUUGAGCAUGAUUUGCAUUUCAAUGAGUAUAAAUGGUUUAUUGUAACAUUUUCAUAUAUUUUAGAUUUCUGUACAGUUUUGUCAAUCACAUUUCUUGGGGAAGGUGGAAAUCAUAUGUAUUGUCUCAUCUGUGUAGCAGGAGUG